rnacentral:rRNA from 1 species
CCGUUAUGAGUGACAGUCGGAGGGACAUUACCGAGUUUACAACUCCCAAACCCAAUGUGAACGUUACCAAACUGUUGCCUCGGCGGGAUCUCUGCCCCGGGUGCGUCGCAGCCCCGGACCAAGGCGCCCGCCGGAGGACCAACCAAAACUCUUAUUGUAUACCCCCUCGCGGGUUUUUUACUAUCUGAGCCAUCUCGGCGCCCCUCGUGGGCGUUUCGAAAAUGAAUCAAAACUUUCAACAACGGAUCUCUUGGUUCUGGCAUCGAUGAAGAACGCAGCGAAAUGCGAUAAGUAAUGUGAAUUGCAGAAUUCAGUGAAUCAUCGAAUCUUUGAACGCACAUUGCGCCCGCCAGUAUUCUGGCGGGCAUGCCUGUCCGAGCGUCAUUUCAACCCUCGAACCCCUCCGGGGGGUCGGCGUUGGGGAUCGGCCCUUUACGGGGCCGGCCCCGAAAUACAGUGGCGGUCUCGCCGCAGCCUCUCCUGCACACUAGUUUGCACACUCGCAUCGGGAGCGCGGCGCGUCCACAGCCGUUAAACACGCCAGACUUCUGAAAUGUUGACCUCGGAUCAUGUAGGAAUACCCGCUGAACUUAAGCAUAUCACAGUUCGAAGAAA